rnacentral:ncRNA from 2 species
AUUUAUCACUAGGGGAGCUGAAAUGGCUGAGAGGGGAGCAAUCCCGACCCUUUAAACCUGAACUAGGUAAUUCUAGCGUAGGAAAGUGUUUAUUGCGUUUA